UUUGGUUAGGAUUUGAUUUAGAAUUAGAAUUGAAUUAAGGUUGGAUUAGGAUUUGGUUUAGGAUUAGGAUUGGAUUAAGAUUUGAUUUAAGAUUAGCAUUAAAUUAGGACUUAAGAUUGGACUAGGGUUUAGAAUUUGGUUAGGAUUUGCUUAAGAUUUGCUUAAGAUUUGGUUGAGGUUUGGAUAGAAUUGAGAGUUGAACUAAGAUUUACGAUUUUAUUUAAUAUUUUUUUAUGAUUUAGGAUUUGCUAAGGAUUUAAGAUUUAAGAUUUACUUAAGAUUUAGAAUUUAGUGUUUGCUUAAGAUUUAGAAUUUAGGAUUUGGAAUUUACUUAGGAUUUAGAAUUUAAGAUUUGACUUGGAAUUUAAUUGAAAUCUAUUAGGAUUUCAACCAAGAUAUAAUUUAGACUUGGAUGAGAUUAUUUAAGAUAUAUU
rnacentral:lncRNA from 1 species